CCGUCAUGAGAUGAUCACCGAUCCAGUACUGAACUUGGUUCAGGAACGAUACAUCUGAAUAUCACCGAUUCCAAGAGAGAGACUUGACCCAGCAUGCUUCCUUGCACAUCCAAGAACCAUCAUAUAUCUCGUCUCAGAGGCUUGGGAUGUUCUCACACAUCAAUUAUGGACAAUGAACAUAACAUAUGUAUAACGACUACUUCCAAUGAACACAUAUAAUACAUCGUCAUCAUGACAUACACGUGCAUCAUAUUAUAUCACAUAUAAAUCACCAUUUAAUUCAUAACCCGUGGCAUAUAGACUACUUGUCAAUAUAAAGUAAAGUCCUCAUAAUAUUUCAAAAAUCAUUUUUCCAUGUGUCAUCAUAACCCGCAAUAUGUCCACAACAUUUAUUACGUGCCAUCAAAUCCAUCACAUAAUUCAUUCUUCAAUCAGCAUGACGUACAUAUCACGUAUAAUAUGUCAAAUACGUACAAUACAUAACCCAUUUAACAUGUACAACACAUAACCCACAUGAUACACUUAAUAUAUAAUAUGCACCCCAUAUAAGCCUACAUCAUAUAAUAGUAUUUCACCCUAUUAUAGCAUAAUAAAACAACAUAACAAUUCCACUUACCAUAACCUGAUAGAUUAUCGCCCUAAACGUGAUAACCUAUCAGAAAAACCAGAUAAUUUAUCAUUAACAAUCCAAUAACAUAGCACCCUAACAUGAUAACUUAUCAUCCUAGGCUCGAUAGCUUAUCACCCACGAUCCGAUAGCCGAUCACUUUGAAAUCCAAUAACCUAUUGGUAAAUGUUCGAUAACCUAUCUAAGCCCAAUAAUCACUUAUCACAUAACAUCUACUUAUCACAUCAAUAAAUCAUCAUUUAACCUUAAUCUCACCCUAAACUACUUAAAAAAUACAACAACAACCCUAAUCAAGGGUUAGAAAGCCACUCAUAAACUAAUCCAAGCUUCAUAAAGCGCCGGGAGAAGUGCGACAAAGCUGGACAGUUGCUGGUCGCGCCUCCACAGUGCAUGUGAGAGGCUGGGUAGUGAUUGAAUGGUGGUCCGGUGGUGGUACGACGAUGGCACUGCCUUCAGGCUUCACUGAGGGAGGAGAACCAAACGAAGAAGAAAUGAGCGAGAGGGAGCUGCUGUGGGGGCUGGAUAGUGGCCUCCACAGCUUCAAAAGCUUGGCUAUGGUAACAGAAACGGAGUGUGGAGGGUGGUGCGGUGUCGGGGUGCAAAGGACUGUCACCGGUAAUUGAAAAACAAGAGGAAAAAAUGAAGAAACGAGCUUGAAAUGGAGAUGAAAAUAGAGGUGGUGGCUUUGGUAGUGUCAAGAGGAGAGAAGGGGUGAGUUUGAGAGUUUCAAAUGAGAAAAAUGAAAGUGAGAGUGAGAAAGAAAAGGGGUGACUGACGGUGAGGG
rnacentral:lncRNA from 1 species